AGAAAGGGAGAGAGACUAUUUCGUUCUGUUUUGUAGUUUUUAUCUGAAGAAGAAGAAGGAAACAGCACUCUCUUCUCUCUUUCUCUGAAUUUUCUGUUUUUCCUUUCUGCCAUAUUCUUUUAAAGAGAAAUAGAAGCAGCGGAGCGUCUUGAUUUUGCUGGAAACAUCUGGAUACAUUAUUCAAAGAGGAAUUGGAGUUGUUUUCAGAAGAAUUUGUUUGGACUGGGAUUUGAGUUUCCUUAGAAAUCUCAUUUUUCUGUCUGAUCCUGAAGCUUUGGAGGGGAGAUUGCAGGAAUUUUCAAGUCGGAGGAUCAGUUUCUGGGUUGGUGAAGAUCGGAUUUGGAAUUCAGACAGAGGAUUAAAGCUCUGAUUUACUUGAAACAGUUCCUAAUUCUGAGGACUAAAGACGAUCAGAACCAUUGUUGAUUCUCGGUUGUUGAUAUGAGUUUUCAAAAUGAAAUCCAAGUGUAUAAAUACAAAUUCAGAUUUUGAGGCCGAUUCGUGUGAUGUGUCAAAACUAAGGUCUCUCUGACAGAGAUUCCAAAGUGGUUGCCAAGAUUUCAUCCAGGAGCAACUUCUUUGAUUACAGAAUUUCAGCAUAAUUUUGAGGUGGAAGUAAAAAAAAAAAGGGCCAGAAAAGGUAGAGAUAAGGAUGGAGAGGAAUUCGAAUCCUAACCACCACUAUAAUAGUAGCAAUGAGACCAGGUCCCCUGCUACGACGUCGUCUGACUUCGGUUUACAGUGGGGGAGCCGUAAAAGGCUGCGUUGUAUGAAAUUCCAGGCCAAAGUCCGGGACAACGGCAAUAACCGCGACUCCUCCGGGUUGCAGCCGGGCGGUCUGAGAGCUGUGGUCGGGUUGAUCGGCGGCUAGUAAGAUCGGACCAUAAUAAGGAUUUAUCUCAGCCCAGUGAUGCUAAUAACAACAAUGGGAAUUCCAAUAACGGCGGAAAUGUCUAUUUGAACCUCCGUCAGCGGCCGGCUUCUCCAUCUCACCGAAUUCUUAGGAAUUCCGAUAGUUCACUGGCUAUGAGGGGACAAAGCAACGGGGUGAGGGGUUUGGCUUCCCCGGACAGGGUAGGGGCUGGUGGCCAUGAUAGGAAAGGGGCAACAACAGCCUUCAUCACCACAGCAAUGGUACCAAGAACAACAGCAACAACAAUAAUGAUAACAGCAACAACAAUAAUGAUAACAGCAAUAAUAUCAAUGGGUCGGCAUCAUCGGAUAGCAAGAAAG